GACGAACGCUGGCGGCGUGCCUAACACAUGCAAGUCGAACGGAGUUGCCCUUCGGGGCAACUUAGUGGCGAACGGGUGAGUAACGCGUGAGAAACCUGCCUUAUACAGGGGGAUAACACUUAGAAAUAGGUGCUAAUACCGCAUAAGCGCACAGUAUCGCAUGAUACAGUGUGAAAAACUCCGGUGGUAUAAGAUGGACCCGCGUCUGAUUAGCUAGUUGGUGAGGUAACGGCUCACCAAGGCGACGAUCAGUAGCCGGCCUGAGAGGGUGAACGGCACAUUGGGACUGAGACACGGCCCAAACUCCUACGGGAGGCAGCAGUGGGGGAUAUUGCACAAUGGGGGAAACCCUGAUGCAGCGACGCCGCGUGAGUGAAGAAGUAUUUCGGUAUGUAAAGCUCUAUCAGCAGGGAAGAAAGGCCUCGCAAGAGGAGAUGACGGUACCUGACUAAGAAGCCCCGGCUAACUACGUGCCAGCAGCCG
rnacentral:rRNA from 1 species